GCGCCGGGGAGUCGCCGUUUUACAUGGCGGCGGCGGGAGGUGGAUGGAGGAGCUAGACGGUCAGCUUUAAUAUCCAUUAGCGCGAAGUUACGGUAGGAUGGUCAACAAUUGUUUGUAGGGGAUUAAAUUUUACACCAAAUGGCAUCUACGGGAAAUGAGUUUUCUUGGUGGUUUGUAAGGGACUGGAAGUUUUGCUGAUGGCAUUGAAGGGAUUUUUCCUCCUUUUUUCCCUCACCGCCCCUCCCC
rnacentral:lncRNA from 1 species